rnacentral:rRNA from 1 species
GCAACCUGCCCAAAAGAGGGGGAUAACACUUGGAAACAGGUGCUAAUACCGCAUAACCAUAGUUACCGCAUGGUAACUAUGUAAAAGGUGGCUAUGCUACCGCUUUUGGAUGGGCCCGCGGCGCAUUAGCUAGUUGGUGGGGUAAAGGCUCACCAAGGCAAUGAUGCGUAGCCGAACUGAGAGGUUGAUCGGCCACAUUGGGACUGAGACACGGCCCAAACUCCUACGGGAGGCAGCAGUAGGGAAUCUUCCACAAUGGGCGAAAGCCUGAUGGAGCAACGCCGCGUGGGUGAAGAAGGUCUUCGGAUCGUAAAACCCUGUUGUUAGAGAAGAAAGUGCGUGAGAGUAACUGUUCACGUUUCGACGGUAUCUAACCAGAAAGCCACGGCUAACUACGUGCCAGCAGCCGCGGUAAUACGUAGGUGGCAAGCGUUAUCCGGAUUUAUUGGGCGUAAAGGGAACGCAGGCGGUCUUUUAAGUCUGAUGUGAAAGCCUUCGGCUUAACCGGAGUAGUGCAUUGGAAACUGGGAGACUUGAGUGCAGAAGAGGAGAGUGGAACUCCAUGUGUAGCGGUGAAAUGCGCAGAUAUAUGGAAGAACACCAGUGGCGAAAGCGGCUCUCUGGUCUGUAACUGACGCUGAGGUUCGAAAGCGUGGGUAGCAAACAGGAUUAGAUACCCUGGUAGUCCACGCC